AUUGAACGCUGGCGGUAGGCCUAACACAUGCAAGUCGAACGGCAGCACAGAGGAGCUUGCUCCUUGGGUGGCGAGUGGCGGACGGGUGAGGAAUACAUCGAAAUCUACUCUGUCGUGGGGGAUAACGUAGGGAAACUUACGCUAAUACCGCAUACGACCUACGGGUGAAAGCAGGGGAUCUUCGGACCUUGCGCGAUUGAAUGAGCCGAUGUCGGAUUAGCUAGUUGGCGGGGUAAAGGCCCACCAAGGCGACGAUCCGUAGCUGGUCUGAGAGGAUGAUCAGCCACACUGGAACUGAGACACGGUCCAGGCUCCUACGGGAGGCAGCAGUGGGGAAUAUUGGACAAUGGGCGCAAGCCUGAUCCAGCCAUACCGCGUGGGUGAAGAAGGCCUUCGGGUUGUAAAGCCCUUUUGUUGGGAAAGAAAUCCAUCUGGUUAAUACCCGGGUGGGAUGACGGUACCCAAAGAAUAAGCACCGGCUAACUUCGUGCCAGCCGCCGCAGUAA
rnacentral:rRNA from 1 species